GAUGAAGAACGCAGCGAAAUGCGAUAAGUAAUGUGAAUUGCAGAAUUCAGUGAAUCAUCGAAUCUUUGAACGCACAUUGCGCCCGCCAGCAUUCUGGCGGGCAUGCCUGUUCGAGCGUCAUUUCAACCCUCGAGCCCCCCCGGGGGCCUCGGUGUUGGGGGACGGCACACCAGCCGCCCCCGAAAUGCAGUGGCGACCUCGCCGCAGCCUCCCCUGCGUAGUAGCACACACCUCGCACCGGAGCGGGGAGACGGUCACGCCGUAAAACGCCCAACUUCUUAGAGUUGACCUCGGAUCAGGUAGGAAUACCCGCUGAACUUAAGCAUAUCAAUAAGCGGAGGA
rnacentral:misc_RNA from 1 species